rnacentral:rRNA from 1 species
UAACACGUAUGAAACCUGCCCGUAGCAGGGGGAUAAGCGGAAGAAAUUCCGUCUAAUACCGCGUAACAACCCAUGGAGGCAUCUCCGUGGGUUUAAAGGAAGCGAUUCCGGCUACGGAUGGUCAUGCGUCGCAUUAGCUUGUUGGCGGGGUAACGGCCCACCAAGGCGACGAUGCGUAGGGGUUCUGAGAGGAAGGUCCCCCACACUGGUACUGAGACACGGACCAGACUCCUACGGGAGGCAGCAGUGAGGAAUAUUGGUCAAUGGCCGCAGGGCUGAACCAGCCAAGUCGCGUGAGGGAUGACGGUCCUAUGGAUUGUAAACCUCUUUUGUCAGGGAGCAAAGGGCGCCACGUGUGGCGUUUUGCGAGUACCUGAAGAAAAAGCAUCGGCUAACUCCGUGCCAGCAGCCGCGGUAAUACGGAGGAUGCGAGCGUUAUCCGGAUUUAUUGGGUUUAAAGGGUGCGCAGGCGGAAUGUCAAGUCAGCGGUAAAAUUUCGGGGCUCAACCCCGUCGUGCCGUUGAAACUGGCGUUCUUGAGUGAGCGAGAAGUAUGCGGAAUGCGUGGUGUAGCGGUGAAAUGCAUAGAUAUCACGCAGAACUCCGAUUGCGAAGGCAGCAUACCGGCGCUCAACUGACGCUCAUGCACGAAAGCGUGGGUAUCGAACAGGAUUAGAUACCCUGGUAGUCCACGCAGUAAACGAUGAAUACUAACUGUCCGGGCAGAAUGAUGCCUGGGUGGUACAGCGAAAGCGUUAAGUAUUCCACCUGGGGAGUACG